rnacentral:ncRNA from 1 species
CAUUACUGAUGAGGCGCAUCAAUCAUAAGUAGAUAUAUCGUUUAUUGCCUGCAAGCAUGAUAUAUCCAAAGGGUGAGAUGCCGAAAUAAACAGGAUUUGCAGAAACUGUUUGUUGGAUUCUGUGGUUAAGAGCUAAGAGUCUGUCAUUAUUUACGGAUAAUGGAGUGCAUCACUUGUA